UCCUGGGCAAAUGGCAGCAGCACCUGGCUCUGUGCAGGUGGGAUGGGGGGGCUGUGACCUUCCUGGGGGUGCUCUGUGCAGGUGGGAUGAGGGGGUUGUGACCUUCCUGGGGGUGCUCUGUGUAGGUGCGAUGGGGGGGCUGUGACUCGCCUGGGGGUGCUGUGCAGGUGCGAUGGGGGGGCUGUGACUCGCCUGGGGGUGCUCUGUGUAGGUGCGAUGGGGGGGCUGUGACCUUUCUGGGGGUGCUCUGUGCAGGUGGGAUGGGGGAGCUGUGACCUUCCUGGGGGUGCUCUGUGCAGGUGGGAUGGGGGGGCUGUGACCUUUCUGGGGGUGCUCUGUGCAGGUGGGAUGUGGGAGCUGUGACCCGCCUGGGGGUGCUGUGCAGGGAGUGUCUUCUCUAUCUGGCUGCCUUUUUUUUUUUUUAAACAAGGUCUCACUCUGUAGCCAAGGAUGGAGGCAGUGGCGCAAUCUCAGCUCACCACAGCCUCCACCUCCCAGGCUCAAGCGGCCCUCCCACUUCAGCCUCCAGAGUAGCUGGGACCAUGGGUGGCUGUGCCACCACAUCUGGCUGCUUUUAACAUCCUCCCUUUGCUGUUGUGAAAACUUCAUGUCAGAGUCAUAUUGAAAUGUCAUAUUUAAAUGUGUAAUUACUGUUCUUUCUCCUGCUUAUAAUUCAUUACACUUCUUGAAUUUGAGGCUUGUGUUUUUAUGAACCUUGAAAAGCCACCAUCUCCCUGCCCUGCUCUCUCCUCUGCUGAGGUGCCUGUUGAGCUGCAUUCUCUCCUCCACAGCUCCCCGCUUCCUGCGGGCUUCCUGUCUCAUUUUCAUUCUGUGCUCCAGUUUAGGCAAUUUCUUUUGUUAGAACUUCCAAUUCACCAAUACUUUCUUAGGUUGUGUCUAAUAAGCUACAUCAUCUGCCCACUGGGUUUUUUAUUUCAGUGAUUCUAGUUUUCAUUUCCAGAUAUUCCAUGUGCUCUAGAAACAUCUGCAUGAUACUCGAUGGUUUUAAAUCCUCCGAUGGAUACUGUGCACUUAACCGUCCCAGCGUGUGAGGUCCCUGGGGCUGCCCCCUGCUGAUCUCUCAGGACAGCUUUUCUUCCUCAGCGUCUGUAAUUCCAACCGGGCUCUUCGUCUGUCUGCACUCGGAGCCGCGAGGCCUGGAUGAGGACGGUGUGUCUCUCCAGGGAGGGUUUGCUUUUGUGGUGGUGGGGGCCUCAGGGAGAGGGGGCAUUUCCAGCAAUGGCACAAAUACAGAUGCCAGCCCCACCGGAGGGCAGGACUGGGUCAGAAGUCUUUGUGGUGACCCCUCAAAGCCCCUCCUCAGUGCCUGUCCCUCUUAGCUGGGGGAACAGUGUCUGCUCAGAUAGCCCAAAGUGUCCAGGAAGUGUGGCCUCCUUGAGAGGACAAGCUUUUCGUGGGGUCUGGGCUCAGAGCCCCUUCCUCUACCUCCCUGGGAGGUCUGAGGUUGGGCUCCAAUGCAGAGACCCUGAGGUAGGGCCGCAGGGAUGUGGAGCUGUGUGGCCUCUGCUACUCAUCUGAACAAAUGCCUUUUGUAUCAAUCAUUUAGCACCUCUAAUUUCUAGGCUUUUCUAGCAAGUCUUUUAGGGGACACAGGCCACGAUACUGUCAACAUAGGAAAAUGUGCGACUCCCGCAUCCCACCGUAAAACUCGAAGAUGUCAAAAUACAUUCUUGAUUCUGCUACACAAAGGGAUGUUUCCAUGGUGAUAUUUUCAAACAAGAGAAAGUUCAUGGCCAAUGGCGGUUACAGCUCAUGGAACGGAUGGGCAGGGCUGGGUGCAGCUUUGUGGCAUGGCUGCUGCUCACAGAUUCUGUCCACUUCACUAAAACCAAACAUCUGGCCUCAUCUGGAUGUUCACAGCCAUGAAAUACAGCACUUCUGGCCAAGAAGUCUAAUCACAGCCCAUCUACACCAGGCGGAUGGUCCAGAUCACCAAGUUCCCACCCAAGCACUGAGCUCAACUCACACUAACGAGGGCGCAGCAGUCCUGCCACCGACCCCCCUCGGGGCAGCAAGACAGGAGCUCCACACAGCCUGUCCUGGGCCAACAGGAGAAGCUGGCAGGGCCCCCGCUGAGUCCUGUGAGCCACCGUGUGUGGUGAGAAUGGCUUCUCCUUCCAAUCUCCAGGUUUCUCUCUGUUUCUGCCUGUUACCAUUAUUGAUCACUUAAAGAAAGACAGGGCCUACCCCGUCUGCUGUGUGACCUCAGCCCUCCUGCCUGCCGAUGGGAGCUGGGGUCAUCUCUUAGGCCUUUCAGCUUCAGCUUCUUCUGUAGUAUAUGUGAAGGGGUCAUACAGAGAUGAGGCUGUGCGUCCAGCCCUUGCCUGCACGACCUCCAUGCCUUCCCCAUCUCCAGACCGGGGUGGGGUGGAAGGACCAGUUCCACAGGAAGCUUGUGGAGGCAAACAGGGUAACGUGGCAAGGGUGGGAAGGAGCAGGGUCUAAGCCCCAUGGUGGUUUCACCAGCAUUCAGCUGUCACCA